UCGAGAAUAAUUCGCAAUGGACGAAAGUCUGACGAUGCGACGCCGUGUGAACGAUGAAGGCCUUCGGGUUGUAAAGUUCUGUCAACUGUGAACAAGGGCAGGCGAUGAAUAGUCGUCUGUUUUGAGUGUAACAGAGGAGGAAGCACCGGCUAACUCCGUGCCAGCAGCUGCGGUAAUACGGAGGGUGCAAGCGUUAGUCGGAAUUAUUGGGCGUAAAGGGUGCGUAGGCGGAGAUGUAAGUCAAACGUGAAAUUCUGGAGCUCAACUCCAGGGCAGCAUUUGAAACUGCAUUUCUAGAGAGAUGGCGGAGAAAAUGGAAUUCCAUGUGUAGCGGUGAAAUGCGUAGAUAUAUGGAAGAACACCUGUGGCGAAAGCGGUUUUCUAGCUUUCAUCUGACGCUGAGGCACGAAAGCAAGGGGAGCAAACAGGAUUAGAUACCCCCGUAGUCC
rnacentral:rRNA from 1 species